rnacentral:rRNA from 1 species
UACGGAGGGUGCAAGCGUUAUCCGGAUUCACUGGGUUUAAAGGGUGCGUAGGCGGGUAUAUAAGUCAGUGGUGAAAGCUCCGGGCUUAACUUGGAAACUGCCAUUGAUACUGUAUAUCUUGAAUGUCGUAGAGGUUAGCGGAAUGUUGCAUGUAGCGGUGAAAUGCUUAGAUAUGUUACAGAACACCAAUUGCGAAGGCAGCUAACUAUGCGAUGAUUGACGCUGAGGCACGAAAGCGUGGGGAGCAAACAGG